CUGCCUCUGUGGUGGAUAGUGGAGUGUUUCCCAUGUGGUAUUGGUGUGCUGGAUAUCCCUUCACUGGUAGCCUGGUAACAUAUAUUCCCAGGUCUUUCUCUGCCUCUGUGGUGGAUAGUGGAGUGUUUCCCAUGUGGUAUUGGUAGGCUGGAUAUCCCUUCACUGGUAGCCUGGUAACAUAUAGUCCCAGGUCUUUCUCUGCCUCUGUGGUGGAUAGUGGAGUGUUUCCCAUGUGGUAUUGGUAUGCUGGAUAUCUCUUCACUGGUAGCCUGGUAACAUAUAGUCCCAGGUCUUUCUCUGCCUCUGUGGUGGAUAGUGGAGUGUUUCCCAUGUGGUAUUGGUGUGCUGGAUAUCCCUUCACUGGUAGCCUGGUAACAUAUAGUCCCAGGUCUUUCUCUGCCUCUGUGGUGGAUAGUGGAGUGUUUCCCAUGUGGUAUUGGUGUGCUGGAUAUCCCUUCACUGGUAGCCUGGUAACAUAUAGUCCCAGGUCUUUCUCUGCCUCUGUGGUGGAUAGUGGAGUGUUUCCCAUGUGGUAUUGGAGUGCUGGAUAUCCCUUCACUGGUAGCCUGGUAACAUAUAGUCCCAGGUCUUUCUCUGCCUCUGUGGUGGAUAGUGGAGUGUUUCCCAUGUGGUAUUGGUGUGCUGGAUAUCCCUUCACUGGUAGCCUGGUAACAUAUAGUCCCAGGUCUUUCUCUGCCUCUGUGGUGGAUAGUGGAGUGUUUCCCAUGUGGUAUUGGUGUGCUGGAUAUCCCUUCACUGGUAGCCUGGUAACAUACAGUCCCAGGUCUUUCUCUGCCUCUGUGGUGGAUAGUGGAGUGUUUCCCAUGUGGUAUUGGUGUGCUGGAUAUCCCUUCACUGGU